GGUUGUAGUUAGACAAUUGUUGUAUUAAAACUCUCGGUGCCCUUUUAUUUUGAGUUGGUCGUACGUUUAAGUUUACAAUUCUUUUCAAUCAAUACAGUUGUAUUAUUAUACUUCAUUAUGUUGUUGUUUUGUAUUAAAAGGAGCAUGUUCCAGUGAUGGAAGCUAAGACAGAUCAAGACAUAAAUCCAGGUCCAAAGGAGGAUACAUAUUUGAGCUCCCAUGUUCCGUAAAAAGACAAAGGAAUCUGACAAAGAAUGCCAGUGACUCUAAGAUUGCUUUGGUAGAGUACAACCAAGGUAGAGUGUAUAAUGUUCUCCGAGAUCCAGAGGACACAAACAAGGGAACUUACUUCAAAGCUCCGAUUGGAUAUAUUAAAUAUGGACUCUUUUGUCAUAAACCAACAAAACUGUCUUUUGUUUUAAACAAAAAAGACGUACAAUCAGUUGACAGAAAAUUUAUCAUUUGUGAAUUUACCGGGGUUAUAGAGGAUGGCAUCAUACGAGUUAAUAAGAUGUCAAUAUCUCCACAAGAACAAGUACUCCUUAUUUCAAACUAUGUGUAACAGUGUUGAACUUUGUAAUGUAAUGUUUUGUUAUUUUGUCUCCCACCACACAGUUAUGUGGAAGACAUAUUGAUUUACCCCUCUGACUGUCUGUCUGUCUGUCACAAAUCUUGUCCACGCUCUAAGUCGAACAUCUCUCCGAUCUUCAUCACAAAAAUGUGUUUAACCAUAAAUCCUCUGCCAAAUUCGAUAACUAGCCAAACUGAUAGCCACUUUGGUAUUAUUGCCCUUGCAUCACAGAAAAUCGGCUUUUUUACACUUAGUCUGUGCUUUUAAGUCGAAUAGUUUUCACAAAAGUAUGCCCUUUUCGACUUCGAAGGUUUUUGGAAAGGCUUUAAAUAUUAGCUUGUAUCUAAGUACCACCUAAAUGAAUAGAUUGAAUCUUCACACAUUCGGUCACUGUGGUGAUCUGGCAUGUAGUUUACAGGUUCCAUAACUCUCUUUUGUGUUUUUAUAAUGUUGCCCCUUUUUCGACUCGUCUGUCAUUGGUUAAGAUUUUGUAUGAAAGCUGGUAUCUAACACAACACGCCGUAGACACGUGGCAUG
rnacentral:lncRNA from 1 species